UCUUUGCGCCUGGAGCGGCUGGUGAAGCUGCCUGGCAGGCCGGGAGUUCUUUGUUCGUAUGCGGCCGAGAAGCCGUGGACGUGGUCCCCCUGCAGCUUACGGAUGCUGAAUGAAAGAGAGAACAAGGAAAAAGAAAGGAAAAUGAACUUGGACACAACCCAGCACGUACCUCCAGGUCCUGGUCCUUUUGAUCUGGCUUAGUCAUCCGCAGUUGUACUAUGCUGCAUUACAUGAGGUAUGGAGCUUCACAUUUAUCGUGAUACCCUUAGAAAGAAUCUUUCACUGAAUGGCAUAAGUAAGGAAGCACUGGUUCCUCUGCCCUGCCCAGAAAAAAGAGACUUUUAUUCAUGAAUGUUGAUGCUACACCGGAUUGAUGAUUACUCAAGGUCCUGAUGCAUCAGAAGUACGAUGUGUUUUACUGCAUGACCAGAUGCUCUCCAUGGAGGUGGCUGAGGGAUGUCUGGGCAAUAUCAAACCAACAAUCAUAUGCAUUGUGCUUGACUUGUAAGGUGUUCAAGGCUUGGACUGACCUUCCUCUGAAUCUGUGCAAAACUUA